GCCCGAGUGGCGGAAUGGCAGACGCAGCGGACUCAAAAUCCGCCGGGGGUAACCCCGUGCGAGUUCGACUCUCGCCUCGGGCA
rnacentral:tRNA from 1 species